GACGAACGCUGGCGGCGUGCCUAAUACAUGCCAGUCGAACGCUUCUUUCCUCCCGAGUGCUUGCACUCAAUUGGAAAGAGGAGUGGCGGACGGGCGAGUAACACGUGGGUAACCUACCCAUCAGAGGGGGAUAACACUUGGAAACAGGUGCUAAUACCGCAUAACAGUUUAUGCCGCAUGGCAUAAGAGUGAAAGGCGCUUUCGGGUGUCGCUGAUGGAUGGACCCGCGGUGCAUUAGCUAGUUGGUGAGGUAACGGCUCACCAAGGCCACGAUGCAUAGCCGACCUGAGAGGGUGAUCGGCCACACUGGGACUGAGACACGGCCCAGACUCCUACGGGAGGCAGCAGUAGGGAAUCUUCGGCAAUGGACGAAAGUCUGACCGAGCAACGCCGCGUGAGUGAAGAAGGUUUUCGGAUCGUAAAACUCUGUUGUUAGAGAAGAACAAGGACGUUAGUAACUGAACGUCCCCUGACGGUAUCUAACCAGAAAGCCACGGCUAACUACGUG
rnacentral:rRNA from 1 species